GUGCCAGCAGCCGCGGUAAUACGAAGGGUGCAAGCGUUGUUCGGAAUCAUUGGGCGUAAAGCGCGCGCAGGCGGAUCAGUAAGUCAGGUGUGAAAUCUCGAAGCUCAACUUCGAAACUGCGCCUGAAACUACUAGUCUAGAAUGUCGGAGGGGGCAGGGGAAUUUCACGUGUAGGGGUAAAAUCCGUAGAGAUGUGAAGGAACACCGGAGGCGAAGGCGCCUGCCUGGACGACUAUUGACGCUGAGGCGCGAAAGCGUGGGGAGCAAACAGGAUUAGAUACCCUUGUAGUCC
rnacentral:rRNA from 1 species